GAUGAACGCUGGCGGCGUACCUAAUACAUGCAAGUCGAGCGAACGGACGAGAAGCUUGCUUCUCUGAUGUUAGCGGCGGACGGGUGAGUAACACGUGGAUAACCUACCUAUAAGACUGGGAUAACUUCGGGAAACCGGAGCUAAUACCGGAUGAUAUUUUGAACCGCAUGGUUCAAAAGUGAAAGACGGUCUUGCUGUCACUUAUAGAUGGAUCCGCGCUGCAUUAGCUAGUUGGUAAGGUAAUGGCUUACCAAGGCAACGAUGCAUAGCCGACCUGAGAGGGUGAUCGGCCACACUGGAACUGAGACACGGUCCAGACUCCUACGGGAGGCAGCAGUAGGGAAUCUUCCGCAAUGGGCGAAAGCCUGACGGAGCAACGCCGCGUGAGUGAUGAAGGUCUUCGGAUCGUAAAACUCUGUUAUUAGGGAAGAACAUAUGUGUAAGUAACUGUGCACAUCUUGACGGUACCUAAUCAGAAAGCCACGGCUAACUACGUG
rnacentral:rRNA from 1 species